rnacentral:rRNA from 1 species
UACAGAGGUCUCAAGCGUUGUUCGGAUUCAUUGGGCGUAAAGGGUGCGUAGGUGGCGGGGUAAGUCUGAUGUGAAAUCUCACAGCUUAACUGUGAAACUGCAUUGGAUACUAUUCGGCUAGAGAGUUGGAGGGGGGACUGGAAUUCUUGGUGUAGCAGUGAAAUGCGUAGAUAUCAAGAGGAACACCAGUGGCGAAGGCGAGUCCCUGGACAACUUCUGACGCUGAGGCACGAAAGCUAGGGGAGCAAACAGG